rnacentral:rRNA from 1 species
UCUUCUAAAUAAAGACUAGUAUGAAAGGCACCACGAGGAUUAAACUGUCUCCUUCCUCUAAUCAGUGAACCUAAUCUCCCCGUGAAGAAGCGGGGAUAUUUNUAUAAGACGAGAAGACCCUAUGGAGCUUAAAACACACUACACGAGCCACCUAAUUUAUGUAACUGAGGUUCUUAAAUACCCCCCCUUCGGCACGCUGAUUAUAUGUUUUCGGUUGGGGUGACCACGAAGAAUAAAAUACCCUUCAUGAUGAAUAGGGCACUCCCCUAAACAACAAGCCACGACUUUACUUAUCAAUAAAUUGACAUUCAUUGACCCAAUAAUUUGAUCAACGAACUAAGUUACCCUAGGGAUAACAGCGCAAUCCACUUUAAGAGUUCAUAUCGACAAGUGGGCUUACGACCUCGAUGUUGGAUCAGGGUAU